rnacentral:tRNA from 1 species
GCGCCGGUGGUGUAAGGCGAACACCGCUGCCCGGAAAGAAGAAAAAGCGGGUUCGAUCCCCGCCUGGCGCA